AUUGGAGAGAGGGGCAAGGAAGAGUAGGGUGGGUGUGAAGCACCGUGGCAUCUCUCUGGCAUACUAAGGAUGUGUGAAUGUCCUCUGUGUCAAGUGUACACUCUGGAAGUAUCCAAUGUAUUUGUGGAUGAUGCAGUUUUCGUCUGAUUUCCAUGGAUUGCAUUGCACAUGGUGAAAAUAUUUCUCAGCUUCCCUUGCAGCUUGGAGUGGUUAUGUCAAUACUAGAUAAGCUGAAAUCUCUGGAUGGGACUUUGGGAGAAAACUCCAUAGAUGGAGCUGGUUCUGUAGGCUAUCGUUUUCCUGUUUUCCCUUUUACUGCUUCCCCAGACACGGGAUUAAAGGAUGCAUAUACCAGGACUAAAUUAUGACUGCAGGGCAUCUUGAGGAGCAGAAGGCCUGAUAUAAGGAUGUCUGAGAGAUAGAAUUGAGCAGGAACUGGAGACCACAGUAUAAGAUCUGGACACUACAUUCCAGUUUCCAGUUUUAUGAAAGAAAAAUCAACCCAAUUUUAUUUAAGUUGGGUUUAUUUAGUUAUUUUCCAAUAUGCAGCCAUACUCAUCCCCUAAACUAAAAA